rnacentral:rRNA from 1 species
UACGUAGGGGGCGAGCGUUGUCCGGAUUUAUUGGGCGUAAAGAGCGUGUAGGCGGCUGGAUAGGUCCGUUGUGAAAACUCGAGGCUCAACCUCGAGACGCCGAUGGAAACCAUCCAGCUAGAGUCCGGAAGAGGAGAGUGGAAUUCCCGGUGUAGCGGUGAAAUGCGCAGAUAUCGGGAAGAACACCCGUGGCUAAGGCGGCUCUCUAGUAUGGUACUGACGCUGAGACGCGAAAGCGUGGGGAGCGAACAGG